AGCUCCAAUAGCGUAUAUUAAAGUUGUUGCAGUUAAAAAGCUCGUAGUUGGGUGUCGGGCGGGGCGGCCGGGUGGCCCACUGGGCGGACUCGGGUGCCGCGCCCUGGGCGGGGGGCAGGGAGGCAUGUAUGUGUCCUCCCGGCCAGCCGCAGUUACCUUGAGGAAAGUAGAGUGUUCAAAGCAGGCGGAGUGGUCGCUUGGAUAUGCUAGCAUGGAAUAACAUGAGAGGACGCUGGUCCUAUUCAGUUGGUUUGAGGGCCAGAGUAAUGAUUGAUAGGGACGGUCGGGGGCAUUAGUAUUGCGCGGUCAGAGGUGAAAUUCUUGGAUUCGGGCAAGACUGGCGAGUGCGAAAGCAUCUGCCAAGGACGUUUUCA
rnacentral:rRNA from 1 species